rnacentral:rRNA from 1 species
AAACGAUGUCGAUUUGGAGUUUGGGGGCAUGACCCUUGGGCUCCGGAGCUAACGCGUUAAAUCGACCGCCUGGGGAGUACGGCCGCAAGGUUAAAACUCAAAUGAAUUGACGGGGGCCCGCACAAGCGGUGGAGCAUGUGGUUUAAUUCGAUGCAACGCGAAGAACCUUACCUGGUCUUGACAUCCAUAGAAUCUUUCAGAGAUGAGAGAGUGCCUUCGGGAGCUAUGAGACAGGUGCUGCAUGGCUGUCGUCAGCUCGUGUUGUGAAAUGUUGGGUUAAGUCCUGCAACGAGCGCAACCCCUAUCCUUUGUUGCCAGCGCGUAAUGGUGGGAACUCAAAGGAGACUGCCGUUGAUAAAGCGGAGGAAGGUGGGGACGACGUCAAGUCAUCAUGGCCCUUACGACCAGGGCUACACACGUGCUACAAUGGCGUAUACAAAGGGAUGCGAAGGUGCGAACUGGAGCGGACCUCACAAAGUACGUCUAAGUCCGGAUUGGAGUCUGCAACUCGACUCCAUGAAGUCGGAAUCGCUAGUAAUCGUGAAUCAGAAUGUCACGGUGAAUACGUUCCCGGGCCUUGUACACACCGCCCGUCACACCAUGGGAGUGGGUUGCACCAGAAGUAGAUAGCUUAACCUUCGGGAGGGCGUUUACCACGGUGUGGUUCAUGACUGGGGUGAAGUCGUAACAAGGUAACCA